rnacentral:rRNA from 1 species
UACGGGGGGGGCAAGCGUUGUUCGGAAUUACUGGGCGUAAAGGGCUUGUAGGUGGCCAACUAAGUCAGACGUGAAAUCCCUCGGCUUAACCGGGGAACUGCGUCUGAUACUGGAUGGCUUGAGUGUGGGAGAGGGAUGCGGAAUUCCAGGUGUAGCGGUGAAAUGCGUAGAUAUCUGGAGGAAUACCGGUGGCGAAGGCGGCAUCCUGGACCGGCAUUGACGCUGAGGAGCGAAAGCCAGGGGAGCAAACGGGG